UUUGGAGAGUUUGAUCCUGGCUCAGGACGAACGCUGGCGGCGUGCCUAAUACAUGCAAGUCGAGCGGACUUGAU
rnacentral:rRNA from 1 species